rnacentral:rRNA from 1 species
AUUGAACGCUGGCGGCAUGCCUUACACAUGCAAGUCGAACGGCAGCACGGGUGCUUGCACCUGGUGGCGAGUGGCGAACGGGUGAGUAAUACAUCGGAACGUACCUUAUCGUGGGGGAUAACGCAGCGAAAGCUGUGCUAAUACCGCAUACGCCCUGAGGGGGAAAGCGGGGGAUCGCAAGACCUCGCGCGAGUAGAGCUGCUGAUGCCUGAUUAGCUUGUUGGUGGGGUAAAAGCCCACCAAGGCGACGAUCAGUGGCUGGUCUGAGAGGACGAUCAGCCACACUGGGACUGAGACACGGCCCAGACUCCUACGGGAGGCAGCAGUGGGGAAUUUUGGACAAUGGGGGCAGCCCUGAUCCAGCAAUGCCGCGUGAGUGAAGAAGGCCUUCGGGUUGUAAAGCUCUUUUGUCAGGGAAGAAACACCGGCUCUAACACAGUCUGGGAAUGACGGUACCUGAAGAAUAAGCACCGGCUAACUACGUGCCAGCCGCCGCGGUAA